GCGGAUUUAGCUCAGUUGGUAGAGCGUCAGCUUCCCAAGCUGAAGGUCGCGGGUUCGAAACCCGUAAUCCGCUCCA
rnacentral:tRNA from 1 species